rnacentral:tRNA from 2 species
GACAGUGUGCCCGAGCGGUUAAGGGGUCUGACUCGAAAUCAGUUGGGCUUUGCCCGCGCAGGUUCGAAUCCUGCUGCUGUCG